AGAGUUUGAUCCUGGCUCAGAUUGAACGCUGGCGGUAUGCUUAACACAUGCAAGUCGAACGGUAGAUACUUCGGUAUCGAGAGUGGCGGACGGGUGAGUAACGCGUAGGAAUCUGCCUGUUAGUGGGGGACAACGUGGGGAAACUCACGCUAAUACCGCAUACGCCCUACGGGGGAAAGGAGGGGAUCUUCGGACCUUUCGCUAACAGAUGAGCCUGCGUUGGAUUAGCUAGUUGGUAGGGUAAAGGCCUACCAAGGCGACGAUCCAUAGCUGGUCUGAGAGGACGAUCAGCCACACUGGUACUGAGACACGGACCAGACUCCUACGGGAGGCAGCAGUGAGGAAUAUUGGUCAAUGGGCGAGAGCCUGAACCAGCCAUCCCGCGUGCAGGAUGACGGCCCUAUGGGUUGUAAACUGCUUUUCUGCUCCAAGAAACCCACCUACGUGUAGGUGGUUGACGGUAGAGUAGGAAUAAGCAUCGGCUAACUCCGUGCCAGCAGCCGCGGUAAUACGGAGGAUGCAAGCGUUAUCCGGAUUCAUUGGGUUUAAAGGGUGCGCAGGUGGGAAUGUAAGUCAGUGGUGAAAUACUGCCGCUUAACGGUAGAGCUGCCAUUGAUACUGCGUUUCUUGAGUAUGGUUGAGGUAGGUGGAAUGUGUUGUGUAGCGGUGAAAUGCAUAGAUAUGACACAGAACGCCGAUUGCGAAGGCAACUUACUAAGCCAUUACUGACGCUGAGGCACGAAAGCGUGGGUAGCGAACAGGAUUAGAUACCCUGGUAGUCC
rnacentral:rRNA from 1 species